rnacentral:rRNA from 1 species
GAUGAACGCUGGCGGCGUGCUUAACACAUGCAAGUCGAACGGGAUCCAAGGGGUGCUUGCACUUUUUGGUGAGAGUGGCGAACGGGUGAGUAACACGUGAGUAACCUGUCCUUUUCUUUGGGAUAAGCAUUCGAAAGGGUGUUUAAUACCUUAUGUUCUGUCUGCCUCGCAUGGGGUGGGUGGGAAAGGCUUUGGCCGGAUUUGGGUGGGCUCGCGGUCUAUCAGCUUGUUGGUGGGGUGAUGGCUUACCAAGGCUUUGACGGGUAGCCGGCCUGAGAGGGUGGUCGGUCACAUUGGGCCUGAGAUACGGCCCAGACUCCUGCGGGAGGCAGCAGUGGGGGAUAUUGCACAAUGGGCGAAAGCCUGAUGCAGCGACGCCGCGUGGGGGAUGAAGGCCUUCGGGUUGUAAACUUCUUUUGCUCUGAACAAGGCAUGCCAGUGGGUGUGUUGAGUGUAGGGGUUGAUUAGCGCCGGCUAACUACGUG